GAUUAACGCUAGCGGCAGGCAUAAUACAUGCAAGUUGAACGGCAGCACAGGUAGCAAUACUGGGUGGCGAGUGGCGCACGGGUGCGUAACACGUAUGCAACCUACCCUAUACAGGCGAAUAACCUUUAGAAAUGAGGGCUAAUACGCCGUAGUAUUACAGAUGGGCAUCUAUUUGUAAUUAAAGAUUUAUCGGUAUAGGAUGGGCAUGCGUCCCAUUAGUUAGUUGGUAAGGUAACGGCUUACCAAGACGAUGAUGGGUAGGGGAUCUGAGAGGACUUACCCCCACCCUGGUACGGGAACACGGACCAGACUCCUGCGGGAGGCAGCAGUAAGGAAUAUUGGGCAAUGGCCGCGAGGCUGACCCGGCCAUGCCGCGUGCAGGAAGACGGCCUUAUGGGUUGUAAACUGCUUUUAUACGGGAAUAAUAGAGUGUACGCGUACAUUUAUGCAAGUAUCGUAUGAAUAAGCAUCGGCUAACUCCG
rnacentral:rRNA from 1 species